rnacentral:lncRNA from 1 species
CGGAAUUUGAACCCUGGUGGGUUGGGGAUAGCAGGGUCCACCUAACCAUCUCAACCACAUGUUGGUUCGCUCAGUCGCCCUUCUAUUAUUAGGUAGAGAGGUAGAGAUUUCUCGGGUUAAGAUCGGGAAGGCUUCUUUGGCUGGAGAGAGGAAAAAGGUGAAAGGAGAAACAAAGGCUCAUCGUGUAUGUUUUUUUAAGGCCGUAUGUUUUUUCUUUUGAUGGUAGUCAUUAUUCCAGGAGUUGGGCUGGAUCAUUUUAGAAAGGAGUUGGGCUGGAUGGGCGUGUCCAGCAAGUUCUUCUACAAAAAGAAAAUCUAAAAAAAACAGCUUUUCUUUUUUUUUUUGCCCGGAAAAAAUAAACACGACAGUGUGUACUCUAUUUUUUUCUGAUCAAAAAAUGUGCACCGUUUCUAUUAGAAAAGGACCAACACAUAGAAAAUUUAAUAAUCGCUUUGAAAAAAGGAAAUUUAAUAACCCAUAACAUAUAUGAGAAUCACUGAUGGAAUUUUUGGAUAAGGGUAUGAUCAGAUACCUGAUGAUUGUAUAAUUGUAGGUACGAGAAGGUCAUAUUUGGGUGCAGGGUGACAAUAUUUAUAUAUGCAUCUAAUGACUUAUAUCGCAAAAAAAAAAAAAUGCAUCUAAUGACUCGAGGCAGUUUGGACAUGUGCCUUAUGGUCUCGUACAAGGGAAGAUGUCCUAUCGGGUAUGUUGAGUAACUUUCUGUUCUGCUUCCCCGUUAGCUUAAUGAAAAGCCUGAUGAAGCUUUGGUGUGGUUCUGUACCCUGUCGUAAGAUUUACAUGUACAGUUUAAAAUUGCCCAAAUAAGAUUUCCCGUCCACUUUGGGAUCAGGUUUGUUUUUGUCAUUGUUAACUAGUGAUGCUCUUGAACUUAAUUUUUUUAGUAACCGAUUUAAAACUGAAACUGACAUGUUAUAUCUUUAUUACAUGCUGUGAAUAUUAGGGCAAGUAAUGGAGAAAUUCACUUUGGCUCAUAGGUGUAGAUGAACCCAUUUUCUAAAUACGAAUUUUAUAAAGUAAAAAAACAUCAAAUAAAAAAAUCCCGUGUGUAUAUCCGGACAUUAUGUUCGUGCACAAAGUUUCGGUGAAAAAGGAAAAAUUUUGUGGCUUGUGUAAGAAAGAAUUUUUUUUAUGCUUGAUUAUAACUAUUCAGGAGACAUUUUUUUUAAUCUUUUUUAUACAUGCCACAAAAAAUGUUUUUUCUUUGUGACAUUUUGUGUGCGAGCAUAGAAUGUCCGGAAUGUACACGCGAAAUUGUUGUUCGGAAUUUUUAAUAUUUUAAAAUGUGUUUUUUAUAUAUUUCAAAAUAGAUGUAUCUACACCUAUGAGCCAAAACUCCACUCUCCAAGUAAUGAGAAUAUUCCAAGUUUAAUUUCAAGUGCUUCGGCGUCCUUCCAUUUCAUAAUUCUUAUCGUGGUUUUAGAUCAAAUUCAAACUAAAACCACGAACGUCGGAGUAGUGCUUACUAGAGUAGCAACAGACUCAAGUUACGGUUGGAGCAGUUCCUCACUGCCUGCAGAAAUAAACUUUUUCAGUCCAGGCAGGCAGGCAUCCUCAGAGGAACGCAAGAACUUUCUUUAGGCUUUACAACGGUAGCCAAUCUUUGGCACCAAACAAAUUAUGCUUCAAGCGAUACAUAUAUUCAGCCUGGCAGUCAGCAAGACUCCGAUGACGCGACACUGACUGACACUCAGACAAAACAUCUUAGGACUUCAGACUUACACUCUCCUCUUUUUCUUCAGAAUUCAACCACGCGCAGAUAGAUGAAACGCAAAAGCUUCUUCAGGCGUGAAGCUUGUUGUUAAUGGAACGGCGUGUCAGUGAUAGGAUCCGAGUUGGAUGAAAGGCAGGCUAGGUAAUCGCGGCUUUCAGUGCUUACAUCUCACCGUAAAUUUGAAACGCGGAAGAGUGUUUCAGACUAAAUUAUCAUCUUCUUCAGACUAGACAGAACAUUUUCUCGCUGCCACUUCUUCGUGCAGAAAUAUACUUUGUACCGAAAUACUUGUAGCUGGGGUCUCCAACUAUAGCCGACCUGGAUGCAAAUUCAAUUCAGAAGGCGCUCACAUACAGCACACAAAAACUUUCUUCAGACUAACACUCUGAAUUUGAUCAAUUAUCUCCAAAUUUGAUCAGAGGCAGUUCGAAAGCAUCAGAAAAGAAGGCAAUGUAUUUUUUCAGACUUAAAAACUCCUGUUUUUUUCUUGAGAAUUCGACCAUACAGGGAACAAACUCCCUCAGUUCUCACAUCUCAUACAUCGCCAAAAGACACAUAGUGACACUGAUAUUUGACCCGAGAGUCAAACAAGAAGGACACUGACACUACCGGACUAACUUCACCUUGACACGCAGCGACCACUAGGACUCACUCUCACUCACCAUGGACAGACACUGCUCAUCUUCUUCUCCUCCUGAUUGGAAUGAACUGAAAUUCUUCAGUCGACCUCCUCCAUCUUGCUCUCCUCGGCGCCCUCCUCCUCCAGCGCGGGCAUGUCAGCAUCCUCCUCCUCCGCAUCGGCCUGAUCAUCGAUGUUGAGCCCGAGCUUGAGCAUGCGGUGGAUCCUGGCGGCGAAGGUGUUGGGGUCGUCGAGGCUGAACCCGGAGGUGAGCAGCGCCGUCUCGAAGAGCAGCAUCACGAGGUCCUUGACGCUCUUGUCGUUCUUGUCGGCGUCGGCGCGCUUGCGGAGCUCCUCCAUGAUGCCGUUCUCCGGGUUGAUCUCCAUGGUCUUUUUGGAGGACAUGUAUGCGCCCAUGCUGCUGUCCCUCAGCGCCUGCGCCUUCAUGAUCCGCUCCAUGUUGGCCGUCCACCCGUACUCGCCGGUCACCAGGCAGCACGGCGAGUCCACGAUGCGGUCCGAGACGACGACUUUCUCCACCUUGUCGCCGAGGAUGUCCUUGAUGGUCUUGCAGAGUCCCUCGAAGGCGGCCUUCUUCUCUUCCUUGCGCUUCUUUUCUUCUUCAGUUUCUUCGUCGAGCUUGAGCCCCUCCUUGGUGGCGGAGACGAGCUUCUUGCCGUCGUACUCCUUGAGCUGCCCGACGGCGUACUCGUCGAUGGCGUCCACCAUGAAGAGCACCUCGUAGCCGCGCUUCUUGAGGCGCUCGAGGAAGGGCGAGUUCUCGACGGCCUUGCGGCUCUCGCCGGUGAUGUAGUAGAUGUCCUUCUGGCCCUCCUUCAUCCGGGUGACGUAGUCCUUGAGGCUGGUGAGGUCGUCGCCGCUCUUGGUGGAGUGGUAGCGGAGGAGGUCGGCGAGCUUGGCGCGGUUCUGCGAGUCCUCGUGCACGCCCAGCUUGAGGUUCUUGGAGAAGGCCUCGUAGAACUUGGCGUAGUCCUCUUUAUUCUCGGCGAUCUCGAAGAAGAGCUCGAUGCACUUCUUGACGAGGUUCUUGCGGAUGACCUUGAGGAUCUUGUUCUGCUGCAGCGUCUCCCGGGAGAUGUUGAGGGGGAGGUCGUCCGAGUCGACGACGCCCUUGACGAAGCCCAGCCACUCCGGGAUGAGCUCCUCGCAGUUGUCCAUGAUGAAGACGCGGCGCACGUAGAGCUUGAUGUUGUUCAUCUUCUUGCGGGUGUCGAAGAG